ACCAAAGCAUUUGCUGUACCGCGUUGACGGAGCGAAGCGACGUCAAACCGAUAAAACAGCAGUGUAAAGUGAGCCGCAGGGCGCUUUGCGCGACAGCGCAAAGGCAGGCGGUUUCGCGUAGCGAAAGCGAAUGCUUUGGGGUGGGGUGACUGCGUACCUUUUGUAUAAUGGGUCAGCGACUUAUAUUCUGUAGCAAGGUUAACCGAAUAGGGGAGCCGGAGGGAAACCGAGUCUUAAUUGGGCGUUAAGUUGCAGGGUAUAGACCCGAAACCCGGUGAUCUAGCCAUGGGCAGGUUGAAGGUUGGGUAACACUAACUGGAGGACCGAACCGACUAAUGUUGAAAAAUUAGCGGAUGACCUGUGGCUGGGGGUGAAAGGCCAAUCAAACCGGGAGAUAGCUGGUUCUCCCCGAAAGCUAUUUAGGUAGCGCCUCGUGAAUUCAUCUCCGGGGGUAGAGCACUGUUUCGGCUAGGGGGCCAUCCCGGCUUACCAACCCGAUGCAAACUGCGAAUACCGGAGAAUGUUAUCACGGGAGACACACGGCGGGUGCUAACGUCCGUCGUGAAGAGGGAAACAACCCAGACCGCCAGCUAAGGUCCCAAAGUCAUGGUUAAGUGGGAAACGAUGUGGGAAGGCCCAGACAGCCAGGAUGUUGGCUUAGAAGCAGCCAUCAUUUAAAGAAAGCGUAAUAGCUCACUGGUCGAGUCGGCCUGCGCGGAAGAUGUAACGGGGCUAAACCAUGCACCGAAGCUGCGGCAGCGACACUGUGUGUUGUUGGGUA
rnacentral:rRNA from 1 species